CCUACGGGAGGCAGCAGUCGAGAAUCAUUCACAAUGGGGGAAACCCUGAUGGUGCGACGCCGCGUGGGGGAAUGAAGGUCUUCGGAUUGUAAACCCCUGUCAUGUGGGAGCAAAUUAAAAAGAUAGUACCCCAAGAGGAAGAGACGGCUAACUCUGUGCCAGCAGCCGCGGUAAUACAGAGGUCCCAAGCGUUGUUCGGAAUCACUGGGCGUAAAGCGUGCGUAGGCUGUUUCGUAAGUCGUGUGUGAAAGGCGCGGGCUCAACCCGCGGACGGCACAUGAUACUGCGAGACUAGAGUAAUGGAGGGGGAACCGGAAUUCUCGGUGUAGCAGUGAAAUGCGUAGAUAUCGGGAGGAACACUCGUGGCGAAGGCGGGUUCCUGGACAUUAACUGACGCUGAGGCACGAAGGCCAGGGGAGCGAAAGGGAUUAGAUACCCUGGUAGUC
rnacentral:rRNA from 1 species